UACGUAGGGGGCAAGCGUUGUCCGGAAUCAUUGGGCGUAAAGCGCGUGUAGGCGGUCCGGUAAGUCCGCUGUGAAAGUCGGGGGCUCAACCCUCGGAUGCCGGUGGAUACUGUCGGGCUUGAGUACGGAAGAGGCGAGUGGAAUUCCUGGUGUAGCGGUGAAAUGCGCAGAUAUCAGGAGGAACACCGAUGGCGAAGGCGGCAUCCUGGACCGAGAUUGACGCUGAGGCGCGAAAGCUAGGGGAGCAAACGGG
rnacentral:rRNA from 1 species